AUAGGAAUAUAUAAACCGUAGACAGUAGGUGCAUUAAGCUUAAUUUCCUACCGAGGAUAGAUAGCCAGUAUCAACCCCCUUAUGUCUAUAAGAGGGUUUUUUAUUG
rnacentral:sRNA from 1 species